rnacentral:lncRNA from 1 species
UUGUUCUGGCUAAUUCUGUUCAGCCUUCUGUUCAAUUCUGUAUGGUCUGGGUAUGACCUCCUCCCUAUGUUCUUCUUCUUCUUCGAAAUCUAGAUGAUUUCUCCAGUUUGCUCCAAGCCUAUUCCUAUCAUUAUUGGCAAAAGGGUUAAUUCCUCCUCUGCCUCUUCUCCUUCUUGCUAGUGGGGGAACUAUAAGGCAACACUAUUGGCUGUUUAGGCAGAUGUACCAUCGGUUGGCCAGGUGGAACAGGUGAAAGUUCUGGUUGAUUUUGGGGAGCCUGAACUGGUGCUGGACCUGCUGGAAGAAUUAGAGCUUCCUAUUCUUAAAUUACAAGGUCUCUUCCUCUUUGUCCAACCUGGAUCUAUGCCUGUCCAUGCACUCCAACCUUCUGUGCAAUGAGGGGAUUUUCCUGGUAUGGCCAUGCCAAUCCUAAUGGAGGUCUAAAAGGGAGUUCUAGCUGUUGGACUACAACAUUUGGAUUUGGAUUUCUUGCAACAGCAGCCUCACGAUCCUCCUUGAACUACUUGUUGACCUGCAAUUGCAUCAUGGCUGUCAUGUUGUUCAGAGUGUCCUG